rnacentral:lncRNA from 1 species
CAAUAUACCCCUCAUAUGUUUUUCCGUUAUUCCAAAAUAUUCCUAUAGUUACCACCCUAUCUACCACAGUUAAAAAUUAAAAUACUAUUUUUGUUCUUAACUUAAGAGCAAAUAAGAAAUGUUGGUGAUGGUAAAAGGGUAUAUUUGAAAAGACUAAAAAGCAAAAUACUUUUUGUGCUCCUAACUUAAAGGCAAAUAAAAAAAAGUCGGUAAUAGUAGAAGGGUAUAUUUGAAAGGGCAAAAUAGUAAUUUCACAAAGAUAACAGAGUUCAUUAAUAGAUUUUAACUUUAUGGAUAUAUUAGAAAUAUGUUAGAAUGUAAAAAGGGUAUUUUCAAUAUUAGCAUUAAUUCUAAGAAUGGUAAAUCAGAAAGUUGAAAACUUUUCAGAGGCAUAUAAGCAAUUGCCUCUUUACACAAAUAGUCUAGAUUUGUUCCACAUAAAUUUAUUUAAUUUAUAUACACUCUUAAUUUUGUUU